CCCAAAUGAUGCUACUAUAUCCUCUCACUGAAAUAUGAUGUUAAAUACAAGCGAGCUUUUUAUUCCAGAUGGUU